UUAAGAUAUAAUGCUGAUAAUGAUACCAUCUAUUUUUAUUUAUUACUAAGCAUUCGAGAACAGAAUACUUAAGUUGUAUUUUUGAUGGUAUAAAAACAAAGAAUUCCAAUACAAAUAUCAUCAGUUACUUUCCGUCUUGAAGAGUAAAGAAGAAUCCAAAAUGUUCAAAUUGAUUGCACUAUUCGUCAUCCUAGCACUCGCCACGGUGUCUAUGGCCUUACCUAGACCAGAACCCAAUCCUCAAUAUUACUAUGGAGCUUCCCCUUACUAUGGUGGUUACGCCUACAGCCCAUACGCAUUGGGAUAUGGUUACUAUUAAAACACGAUUACCUGUUGAUGAUUGUUAAGCCUAACUAUGUGAUGAUUAAGGAUUUAGUAAAUAUACAUGAUUAUUAUAA